CUAAUCCAUUGUUUCUGUGUGUGCCACAUGGAACCAUGAGAAUCAGCAUCAGCUGGAGCCUAUUAUAAUGAAAAUUCUUAGUCUCACUUUCCAAACUUGCUGAAUCAGAAUCUUGGGGGUACACCAGAAACUUGCAUUUUAACAGUAUCUCUAGGUGAUACUUUCUGUACUGUAAAGUUUGAAAAAACACAUAAUUAACUCACAAAUGCAUUAUUUGUCCUUAGACUUCAUCCCACAAAUAGAACUUGUGGCUUAAUGUGUCAGAUUUAUUAGGAAAAUAUUUAUAAGGUAAAGCUUCUAUGUUAUAAUUGAACAGUCCUAUUGGGAAUAAUGGUUAUUCUCUGGAUAAAUACAAAAACAUAAAUUAUUUCUUAAGGCAAAUAAAUAACUCAAUUUAAAAUAGAUUUAUUCUAAGCACUGGAGAUACAAGGUCUCUUCUUGUGCUCAAAAUAAUACAAACUCUCAUCACUUUUUAAUGGGAAAGAGAUACAUAGUUCAGUAACUUGAAAUAUGUCUGACUGAAGGGUAAACACUGCUUUGGAUAUGCUUGAGUUGUCAAAUGAUUUCUCCCCUUUCUUCUUUCCUUCCUGUCUUUCUCUACUUUUUUCACUCUUUAUUUCUUCACUAACCAUUUAAACAACAAUGUAAGGCACUGUUUUAGUACUUCUAUAAUAUUCAUGUUCUAGUGAACAUAAAGCAAACUAAUAGUCCAAAGGCACUGACAAACAACAAGCUACCCGGUAAAAAUACUGAUAUAUAUUUUAAUAUAACAUUUUACAACUACAAUCAAACUUAAGUCAUCUAUAUUUUAUGUUGGAACACCAAAAUAUAGGCAUUAUUUCACACAUCGUUUCCUGUUUCCCCAAGUUAGGGAGUGUGGGAAUUGUGUAUGACAGUUUGAACAAACAUAAUGGACUAGAUACACAGGAGUGACCUUCCCUCCAGGAACAGUAGGAAGAGUGAUGGAUCAGACAUGUCUUCAUCUUCACAUUUUAUAAUUAAAUAAACCAGGUAUCUAAUUCUUUAUAACAAAACACUAUGCUCUUUGAAAAUGCAAUGCCUUUCAUUUAUAAGGGAAAUGUGAAAAAAUAGUGAAGGCUUUAUCACAAGCAUGUCAUUAAAUUGAUGUCUUAAGGAUGCAACCCAUGAAUAGGUAUUUCCAGUCAUAUUUAUGCUGGGCUUUCCUCCUAUUCUUCUUGUGUCUUCUUUUCUAUUUCUACUAUGAUGAAAGUAUGAAAUGUUUAUGAAAAAAUCUAUGAUGUUUAUUUAAAUAAAAAUAUCUUAUAUUCCAGUUUCCAUACUAAGAGGACAAAUACCUCAAAUGACAAAUGUGAAACAACAUUGGACUGUAUUCUAUAUAACAUGAAACAUUCUAGACACUGGUGAUACAAAGUAAAUGCUCUUUUCUGCUUCUAAGGAGGUUACAGUUCAAUUUAUAAAACAUACAAGGUUAAAGGCAACUGCACAUCAGUCUGGAGGAGUGUUUGUUAUAUAAGUCUAAAUUAAGAGAAGAAGGAACUCUUCUUCCCACACAUGAACUGCAGACUUUGGACUUAUCAGCUUAUUGAUUUUAAUCAAUUAUGAAAAUGAAUUAUGAAAAGAAGUCACACAAGAAAGAAGUGUACAACCAGAAAAAAAGAAAGUUGAGAAAAGAUCCCCUAGACAACACUGAUGUAGUAUGUGAGAGAAAAAGAAAGCCCAUGAAAAUCUCUGAGAGGGAAAAGAAUAGUAUAGUAUUUUCAAGAAAUAUACGUACAUAAUGGAAACAAAAGGGAUGAAAUUUCAAGGGGAAAAUGUUAAUCACAAUGAAUAAAAUUUGUAGUGAAAUAGGGGAUUCUGUAGUUUCUUUAAACUACAAUUUAGUUACCCAGACCAUGUUAUAAUAAUAGUUGAAAGUGAAUUAAAUGAAAAUAUAUAUUUCAUAUAUUAAUAUAUAAUAUGAAAUAUGAUUUAUAUAUUUAUAUAUUUCAUAUAUAUGAGAAAUUUAAAAUAUACAUUAUUUAAAGGUAAAUAUUAGGUUGUUUUAUUAUUAUUUUUAGCAUGAUAGUAUUCAUUUGAAAGAACAUCUUAGUUUCAAAAAUUUCUCUGAGAAUAAAGGAGAAAAUGCAAAACAAAGAAUAAUGAAAAAAUAUCUUUGGAAAACAUGACAGUCAUCUUCACCUUUAAGACUUUGAGAAUUAGAAAUCUGAUCAGAUAUAGAUUAAUUUAUUAAAAGUGAGAGUAAGAAGUUUAAGACACUUAUGCCUAAUGAAUUCAAUUUUCCUUUCAAAUACGUAUGUUGUUGUUAUUAUUAUUAUCAAUAUUAUUAUUUUGAAAUUGACUACUGAGUGAGAUGAGUUGGUUCCUUCAGAAAACAAAUAUUGGGGCAAUUUAUUGUAGGUUAAUGAGAGAGGUAUUGCAUCAAAUACGUGGAAAAAACUUGGUGAGCAAUGUUGUACUCCAAAUUUAGAAAACAAAAAAAUCACAUUUUUUCUAUAUAUCUAGGUUUUGAUAAAGAAACAUGAUAUAAAAUUUAGGGAUUUAUAGGAUUGAGAUAUUAGCAAGUAGAGUUACCCAAACCCAGAAGUUCACUGGAAUUGUUUGAGUUAUUGCAAGUAUAUAGUGAAUGAAAAAUAUGAAGUACUGGCUUAGAGGAAAAUAAAAUAAAUUUUAAAAGGAACACAUAGAAUAAAAGGACAUAAAAAUAGGAAGGACCCACAGAUUUCUGUAAGGCCCAAGUGUGGAUAUCUAUGAUUCAACCCUUGAUUCCAUUCCAAAAUAUAAAUAAGAUUAUGUCUUUCUCCAAUGUCAUCCAUCUCAAAUCAAAGACUUAACAUGGGCCACAAAGCUUUAGUUACCUGCGUAUCCCUUAUGCUGUGACGUAAUUUAUUUUGAUCCACUUGCCUUCUCUGUCCAUAUUGGUCUCCUUGAAUUUGUCCCUAAUGAAACAAACAUGUUUCUAUCACAAUAAAUUUGCAUUUGCUAUUUUCUGCUGGAAAAUUUAUUUCUCCAUAUUCGCUCUCAUGCUUAGUUCAUAUCUUUCAUAAAAUGUCACUAUGUCAGAGAGUCUCUUGUUGACUAUCCUGUUUAAAUUUGUUUCUGUGCCCUAGACAUGCUUAUACUUCUUUAGCACACUUAUCAUUGCCUAAGAUAUGUACUAUUUAUUUACUUUGUAUCUGCAUCUCCCAACUACAAUGUAAACUCUCCAAAGACAGGACUUUUGUCUCUCUUUGUCUGCAGCAUCUAGAAGAGGACCUGACAGCUGGGGUCAUUCAAUAAAUAUUUCUUGAAUAAAAGUCAUUGCUGAAAAACUAAUGGAGGGCAUUAGAUGGUUUACAUGCAGAGUGCCUACAUACUGCUGUAGAGUGACAUGGUGGUUAUCUUCUGACCUACAGGGACUGAGAUAAAAAAUGUGAGUGCUUUGGAGGCUUAGCAACUGUGGUGUGGCAAAGGAAACCAUGGGCAAAUCAAAUCUUGGCAUAAAUAGCUCUAAUAAUAAGUGAGUUUGAGUACCAUGUUUGUAACAUAUAAAAUAUGACAGACUAAAUUAUAAAUAAGGACCUCUGACAUUAUGGGCUUCAAUCUGUGCUAGUCAAAC
rnacentral:lncRNA from 1 species